GAGGCCUUAGCUUAAAUUAAAGCAGCUGAUUUGCAGUCAGAAGAUGUGAGUGAGUAAUUUGCAGGCCUUC
rnacentral:tRNA from 1 species